AACGAACGCUGGCGGCAUGCCUAACACAUGCAAGUCGAACGAAGGCUUCGGCCUUAGUGGCGCACGGGUGCGUAACGCGUGGGAAUCUGCCCUUUGGUUCGGAAUAACAGCUGGAAACGGCUGCUAAUACCGGAUGAUGACGAAAGUCCAAAGAUUUAUCGCCAGAGGAUGAGCCCGCGUUGGAUUAGGUAGUUGGUGGGGCAAAGGCCUACCAAGCCGACGAUCCAUAGCUGGUCUGAGAGGAUGAUCAGCCACACUGGGACUGAGACACGGCCCAGACUCCUACGGGAGGCAGCAGUGGGGAAUAUUGGACAAUGAGCGCAAGCCUGAUCCAGCGAUGCCGCGUGAGUGAUGAAGGCCCUAGGGUUGUAAAGCUCUUUUACCCGGGAAGAUAAUGACUGUACCGGGAGAAUAAGCCCCGGCUAACUCCGUG
rnacentral:rRNA from 1 species